CUCGGUAGGCCCAAAUGUGUACCAACAAAUAUCGUUUAGUCAACGACACUAUCGUAAGUCAUCGCAUUUUUCGAUCAAAUUUACAUCGUAACUCAAAAUUAUUGUAAGUCGAGGUGCCACUGUAUUCAUAUUAAUAAGAGCAAAAUAGGAUUUUCAUUAAAUGAUAUCUGAAAUUUCAAGUUGAGUAUUCUCAUACAUGGAGGCAGAAUAGUGCACGUGACAAUAAAUAUGGCAUGAGACACAAUCAAGUAAACUACACGAGCUAAUGAAGCCUUGUGGUGUAUGCACUUGCCUAUAACUUUUAACUUUAUUUAUUUAUAUAAAUAUAUAGUAAACAUUACAAAGAUUAAAAUCUUAAUUCAUGUAAACAAAAUAAUUUUUUUCAUUAGACUUGCUGUAACUUAAAAAAAAAUCUCAUGUUCUCCAGUUUUUAAUAUUCACAUGAAAUAAUCAUUAGGUAUAAUCACGACUAGAGGAAUUGUUAGUAUAUAUAAGCUACACAAUAGUGUUCUGCCAGCCCCAGCCAAGAUAAACAUUAAACAAAGGAAUAUCUUAUUAUACGUGUUGACACUUUUUUUUAUAUAUAUAUAUAACCAUUAGCAGUAUGCCUGAAAAUUCAAUAGUUUGAUCAUUCUCUGUCUCCAAUUAUGUAUUUAUCAAGAGUGCUAAGCCAGGAUUGCUUUAUAGCACUAGUCCAUUUGUUAAAUUACACAUUUUAAAGCAAUUCGACUGACAGUUACUUUGGUAUACUACCAGUAACCAUUUGUAAAUUUAUACCUAUUACACAGUUCACUAGUCAUUGCAAACUGGUAAAAUAUAUAAUAGUUUAUAUAGAAUGCAAUACAAAUCACUAAAAAUUCCUACACCAGUUGCAUUAAAUAAAAAGAUUACAUACUACCGUGUCCGUAAUGUCAAAUCAUGUUCAAGAACAUAUUUUUAUAUGGUUGAGCACUAUUUUGUAAGAAAUCUAUUUUAUUCCAUGAAAACUUAAUUUACGUGUUUUUCCCUCCAUUGCACACUAAUGGUAAAAAGUUAUUAAUAGUUUUAUAAUAUACAAUAUAGGUUUGUAUCCAGAAUUGUAUGGGAAAAGGGGGUGGGGGGUAGGGGGGGGGGAGAUUGUCACUGGUACAGUAUCUUGUUUGAGCACUUAUCAUAAGUAUAAAACUCACAAGACAUGUUAGGGAAGAGGUUGAGUGCACUAACCUCUCCUCUAUACCAUAAAUAUGGUAGAUACCAUACUAUUAGAUUAAAAAAAAGUUACAGCAACAGGCAGAGGAAUUUUUAUUGCAAGUUGGGCUUCGUAAUCUCUAUCAACAUGUAUACCUCAUUGCUGAAAGGAAUAUGUUUUAACACUGUGUAAAUAGUUAUAUAUUGAAAAAUAUUACAUGGUCAUACAUUGUUUGUGCUUGCUAUCUUUGAAAUCGAGAACUAUAAGUAUCCUAUUUAUAAACAAAAAUUAAUAUUCUCUCCUUUAAAGAAUGGCACUAUUAACUAAUGCUUAAAUUUGUCUUUUAAAGUUAAAAAUAUUUUUAUUCCAUUAUACAGGGCUGCAGGUUUUCUCUUUGCUACAUUGCCUUCCCGGCUUGGUGCCUUCUUUUGAUAAUUACAUUACAUUAGUUUUCUGUUCAAAUAGUCAUGUUCCCUAUUCAGAAGAGGGUGGUGCAUUUGUAAUCUACAUUACAAAUUAUAUUAUUGACAUCUUCAUAGCUUGAGGAGCUGCAUAAGCAGCCCAUCCUCCUAAGGUUUCCCAAUGUCAAGAAACUGUUGUACUAAAGUACUCCUAUCCUAACCUACCAGAGGCCCCAAAACAGAAAACAGGACAGUAUGUCAAUUUUGUGAGCUGCUACCAUUUUCUAGUACAGGGUACAAUAAUUUUUGGCCUUGGGUAAAGUAUACGUCGAUAUGCGAUGUUCUAUUAGAAGGAUGGGUUGAUAUAAGAUAUAAGAAAAUAAGCAAAUAUAUUGAUGUGAUAAUCACUUAUGAAACAAGUUGCCACUUGCAUAAAGAGUAAGAAUGUGUGACCAGUACAAAAAUAUAAACAUGUUACUGAAGUGCCUGUCAGUGGACGUGCACAAAGACAAGUAUCUGGGAGUUUUAUUGUAAUAAAAAUACUUCAGCUUAAUCUCCUUCCAGCUCAGGGUGUAUUCCCCAGUUUACUUUUUCUUGAUAUUUUUCUAUAAUAGCAGUUAAGUUUUGCCAUCCCUCAACAAAGCUUUUUCUACAUACAGGAUUAAGAAUUGAACUUGAAAGUGUGGAUGAAUAUCAUUUUUAGUUCAUUGUGAAUUUUUUUUUAUUACUUAACAUUAGAGCACAUGUGACUUGUCCUGUAUGGGAAAUGUUAUACUGUACAUGUUCAUUUGCAAUUCAAGAAAUUGUAAGGUUGAGAUCAUUUAUAUCUGGUGAAAAGUUAAGCCCAUUUUUUAUAUUUUUAUAUAUAAAUAAAAUAAUACAAUAUAUUUUAUUUUGAAUUUUCCAUGCUACUGAUUUGGUGUUUAAAUUGGUAAAAUCUUGAAUGCUCGUGUUAGUUGAUUUCGUUGAAAAUAGUCAUGACAUUGGAGUUGUUUUGAAGCAUGAAGUAAAACAUAUUCACCGUUGAAAACUUUAUUAACCAAAACUAUGGUGAUCAACAUUUCUACUCUUCAGGGCAUGACUUGACAGUUUUAAUUUGAGUACAGAAUGUACUUCAAAAUGAACAGUGUGGGGGGCAUAAUGUGCAAAUGUAAAUUGUGUAAAUUAGAACUGAUACAAAUAUAGUUGAUGUUUGUAAGCCAUUAUUGUUAAUAGUGUAAAUACUUUAAAACAUACCAUAAAAAUCUUCUAUACACCAAGGGAUCAGCUGUAAGUUUGACUUUUUUAAGUAUUUGGGUAUUUGUUGUUCCUGGGUAUUUAUGUCAUGUAUAUGACUUAUAAUACUAAUGAUACUAGUUGUAAUAAAACCUGGACCUGGAGGUGCCACUGUAUAUAAUGUUAUGGUAAAGGCAACUGAAAAUAUUGGCAGAUAGCAUCCCCCAGGAAUAUGCUGUCAUUGUUCUCAAAUUUAAGCAUUUAUCUUUUUGUAUUUUUCUUUAAGAUCAAGUAUUGUUUGAUGGUAGUAGUUAAUGUUAAUGUCAAGAGUAUUUUAAUGUUCUUUUCUGUGCUUUCAUGAACUUCAAAUGCUCUUAUUGAACAUUUUUGGGAGCAAAACUGAGCAUACCAAUAAAAUCAAAUUCUUUACGUAGCAUGCCGAAGGUAUGAGUCCAAAAGUUAUUUAAUAAUGUCUUGCUAAAUGUUUUUCUUAUUUUGAAUUAGACAAUAGUAAUGAAUUUAUACUAAACCAAAAUGUUCAUUGACCAUGGGGAUUGACAAGAAAAAAAAUAAUUGUCGCACAACCGACUCGGGAUAAUGAGUGUUAAGAGUGUCUGACUUGGCACAUCACCAAAGAUGUAACUUUUUUAUAAUACUUUUGUACAUACUAGUCAAAUGUCUUAAUAAAGUCUUCUUUCUAA